AAUGUGGACAAAGAGAUUCCUUUCGUUCAGUAACAACAUUCAGGACUGUUGAUGUUAAUGCCAUAAAGUUUGAGCAACCAUUGAUGGGGUCUCCCUCUGUGUGAAGUAAGGCUUUUCACAAAAGGAAGAAGAGUAAACAAAGCUAUAUAAAGAAAAGAGCAAAGGAGUUAAAGCAAGAUUUUAGGCACUGCUGCUUUAAACCCUAGGUAGGUCUGAGACAUAUUUUUAUGAUCAAAUUGUAUCAUCUAAAAAAGAUAAACUGGAAACUGAAAUAUCCUUAACUAUGUAGUAUC
rnacentral:lncRNA from 1 species